GCGGGGCCGAGUCCGGGUUUGGGGCCCGGAAGGCGGGGCCAGUUAGGGCGAGGGUCCCUGGGAUCGUCAGGUCAGGCCUUGGGCUAACGUAGGCACUCUCGCAGUUCCUCCGCCUUCAGGAAAGUCUUUUUAGCAGGGGCCUUACGGGUUCGCGCUUUGGUCCUGGAGGCCUUAUCCUAGCCUCCUCUGUAUCAGCGCCACCAGUCUGGGGCCCGAAAGGAGGGAGCUUUCCCUCUGUCCCCCAGCCUUUGGACUGUCACCAAACAAGCCAUUCGUUCACCAAAUACUUAUUAAGCGCCUACCAUGUGCCUGACAAGGGAGAUGUAACGGUGAGAAAAACUAGGUGUGGUCCAUGUCCUCCAGGGGCUCAGGGGCUCGUGGAAGAAGUGGACAUUGAAGUAUUUAUCACACAAAUGAGUAUAAAAGUACAAUAGCGAUAUCUGCCACGAAGCUGUUGUUCCCCACCAGAACCAAAUGAGCGCAAGAUCUGACAAAGAAAAAAAGAAGUUCAUCUUUUAUUCCCCCAAACCCUUUCAUUUAAAUCAAGAGGGUGGGAUGUGGUUAUUGCUGUGUUUUUAGGCAGAAUCAACGGUUUCUGGGUCUGAGAAGUUGCAUACACACUCUCAGUCCCUGUAUCCUGAGAUGGAGUCACCUGAGGAUCCACAGCAAGUCCUAACCAGGGAUGGGUCUGGGUGAUUAAGGAAGGUUGGCUUCAGAACUGGGCCAGAGGCACUGCUUUGCUUUUGCUGUUUUGAUCAGCUCUGUGCCUGCAUGAGACAAGGAAAAUCAAUGGGAACAGCUGGGGAAACUGAGUUACAGAGCUUUUCUGCACUGAGUCAUCAGGAGCAAAUGCUAGAUCAGAUAGAGUCUCUCUCUCUGCCACCCAGGCCAGAGUGCAGUUGACGCAGGGCAGGGGAGCCCCGAAGUGGAGCAUAGUGUGUCCGGAACUGGUGGGUUCUUGGUCUCCCUGACUUCAAGAAUGAAGCCACGGACCCUCGGGAAAUGAGGCUUCUCCCCAGGACCAGCAUUCCACGAAGGCAGCCCUUUUCUAGAUGGAGAAAACAGAACCUGAAGACACCCGUUUCCCUAAACUGCUCUCGCUCAUGUUUCUACAAGGCCUGGAGCUGAUAGGAAAAACCUCCCUUCUUUCCCAAAUGGUCCCCAGCUGCCCCGUUCACUGAAGGCCCUGCAGUCAGGAACGGUCAGGACUUCACACCCAGUUGUUGUGGGUGUUUGGCCGACACGACACUUCCUCUUGUGUGAUUCAUGGACCCGCAGCAUUGCGUCACCUGGGAGCUUUUGGUAUUGAAGACUCUCAGGGCUCACCCGGAAGGACCUGCUGGGCCAGAAUCUACAUUUUAACAAGAUGCCCAGAAACUCCUGGAGGGCAGAGGCAUGCCUGCCAUCUUCAUCAUUGCAUUACCACCACCCAACACUAUCGGGGGACCUGCCCUGAUAAUCAGUAAAACCAACACAAAAC
rnacentral:lncRNA from 1 species